rnacentral:rRNA from 1 species
AACACAUGCAAGUCGAACGGCAGCACAGAAGAGCUUGCUCUCUGGGUGGCGAGUGGCGGACGGGUGAGGAAUACAUCGGAAUCUACUCUGUCGUGGGGGAUAACGUAGGGAAACUUACGCUAAUACCGCAUACGACCUACGGGUGAAAGCAGGGGACCUUCGGGCCUUGCGCGAUUGAAUGAGCCGAUGUCGGAUUAGCUAGUUGGCGGGGUAAAGGCCCACCAAGGCGACGAUCCGUAGCUGGUCUGAGAGGAUGAUCAGCCACACUGGAACUGAGACACGGUCCAGACUCCUACGGGAGGCAGCAGUGGGGAAUAUUGGACAAUGGGCGCAAGCCUGAUCCAGCCAUACCGCGUGGGUGAAGAAGGCCUUCGGGUUGUAAAGCCCUUUUGUUGGGAAAGAAAUCCAGCUGGCUAAUACCCGGUUGGGAUGACGGUACCCAAAGAAUAAGCACCGGCUAACUUCGUGCCAGCAGCCGCGGUAAUACGAAGGGUGCAAGCGUUACUCGGAAUUACUGGGCGUAAAGCGUGCGUAGGUGGUCGUUUAAGUCCGUUGUGAAAGCCCUGGGCUCAACCCUGGGAACUGCAGUGGAUACUGGGCGANCUAGAAUGUGGUAGAGGGUAGCAGGAU